UGGGGAAUAUUGGACAAUGGGCGAAAGCCUGAUCCAGCAAUGCCGCGUGUGUGAAGAAGGUCUUCGGAUUGUAAAGCACUUUCGACGGGGACGGAUGAUGACGGUACCCGUAGAAGAAGCCCGGCUAACUUCGUGCAG
rnacentral:rRNA from 1 species